rnacentral:rRNA from 1 species
UACGGAGGGUGCAAGCGUUAUCCGGAUUCACUGGGUUUAAAGGGUGCGUAGGCGGCGUUAUAAGUCAGUGGUGAAAGUUUUCAGCUUAACUGAGAGAUUGCCAUUGAUACUGUAAUGCUAGAGAAUAUUUUAGGUAGGCGGAAUGCGUCAUGUAGCGGUGAAAUGCAUAGAUAUGACGUAGAACACCGAUAGCGAAGGCAGCUUACUGGGAUAUAUCUGACGCUGAGGCACGAAAGCGUGGGGAUCGAACAGG